rnacentral:rRNA from 1 species
AACGAACGCUGGCGGCGUGCCUAACACAUGCAAGUCGAGCGAGAAAGUCCCUUCGGGGGCGAGUAAAGCGGCGGACGGGUGAGUAAUACAUGGAUAAUCUUCCCUCGAGCCUGGGAUAACCCUGCGAAAGUGGGGCUAAUACCGGAUAAGACCACAUGACACAUGUCACGGGGUAGAAGGUGGCUUGUAUUUAUAUGAGCUAUCACUUGAGGAUGAGUCCAUGGCCUAUCAGCUAGUUGGUGAGGUAAGAGCUUACCAAGGCUAUGACGGGUAGCUGGUCUGAGAGGACGACUAGCCACACUGGGACUGAGACACGGCCCAGACUCCUACGGGAGGCAGCAGUGGGGAAUAUUGCGCAAUGGGGGCAACCCUGACGCAGCAACGCCGCGUGAGUGAGGAAGGUUUUCGGACUGUAAAGCUCUGUCGAGCGGGAAGAAGUGUACCAUGGCUAAUAUCCAUGAUAUUUGACGGUACCG